UAGGAUUUGGGUUAGGGUUUAGGAUUUUUUUAGGAUUUGAUUUAGGGUUUGGAUUAGGGUUUAGGAUUUGGUUAGGGUUUGAUUUAGGGUUUUGUUAGGAUUUGAUUUAAGAUUUGAUUUAGGGUUUAGGAUUUGGAUUAGGAUUUAGGGUUGGAUGUCAUGGACACAGAAAUACAAACUCGAGAUUUAACAAGAAGUUCAGGAAGAACUGGUAAGAACUAGAUUAAUCAGAUGAGAACAACACUGGAGAGGUGAGCUAGAGCUCCAAGAGAUGUGUUGUCGAGACU
rnacentral:lncRNA from 1 species